UCUUUUCCUCAGAACUAUCAAAUCCAUCUUCAGAAACUUGACAUCUCCAUUGCCUUUGUUCUAGGAAGCAGCAUUGGAUUAUCUCUGGACCCAAAUUUGUGGCAUAGAAAUAUCACAAGUGGAAAAUCUACAUCUGGAAAAACAGAGACUGAGUUUGUCCACAGUUUGGAAAGCUUCCAGAAAAUAAUGGCUACAGGAACUAUCAAGUGCUACCACAAUGCAAGAAAUGAUUGAUCUGGCUAAGAUCAUAUUACUGGCUUCCUCCUGGUCAAGUAAGUUUUUCAUGACCCUUUAUAUUAAGCUUCAAUGAUGUGUAGCAUAUUUUAGUGAAUACAUAGCAUUUUGUUAUUCAAGCCCAAUGGAAAUAAAAUACAAUGCUGUAAAUAUUGAUCA
rnacentral:lncRNA from 1 species